rnacentral:rRNA from 1 species
UGAACGUUGGCGGCGUGGAUUAGGCAUGCAAGUCGUGCGAGAAGGGUUUGGUGCUUGCAUUGGACCCGGAAAGCGGCGAAAGGGAGAGUAACGCGUGGAUACCUACCCUCAGGUCCGGGAUAGCGGCGGGAAACUGCCGGUAAUACCGGAUGAUAUCUCUGGAUCAAAGGUGUGAUUCCGCCUGAGGAUGGGUCCGCGUCCUAUUAGCUUGUUGGUGGGGUAAUGGCCUACCAAGGCGACGAUGGGUAGCGGGUGUGAGAGCAUGGCCCGUCUCACUGGGACUGAGACACUGCCCAGACACCUACGGGUGGCUGCAGUCGAGAAUCUUCCGCAAUGGGCGCAAGCCUGACGGAGCGACGCCGCGUGCGGGAUGAAGGCUUUCGGGUUGUAAACCGCUGUCAGAGGGGAACAAAUCCAUAAGGGCUAUCCCUUAUGGUUGAGUGAUCCUCAGAGGAAGCGCAGGCUAAGUUC